UGUCUAUGUCUAUCCUCAUUCCUCCCUC
rnacentral:piRNA from 1 species